GCGGCAGGCUUACACAUGCAAGUCGAGGGGCAGCACGGGUAGCAAUACCAGGUGGCGACCGGCGCACGGGUGAGUAACGCGUAUGCAACCUACCUUCAACUGGGGGAUAGCCCAGGGAAACUUGGAUUAAUACCCCAUAAGACAUUAGUAUCGCAUGAUAUAGAUGUUAAAGUUCCGGCGGUUGGAGAUGGGCAUGCGUGCCAUUAGGUAGUUGGCGGGGUAACGGCCCACCAAGCCUGCGAUGGCUACGGGGUCUAAAAGGAUGGUCCCGCACACUGGUACUGAGACACGGACCAGACUCCUACGGGAGGCAGCAGUGAGGAAUAUUGGUCAAUGGGGGCAACCCUGAACCAGCCAUGCCGCGUGGAGGAAGACGGCCCUAUGGGUUGUAAACUCCUUUUGUAUGGGAAUAAUAGCACCUACGUGUAGGUGUAUGAAGGUACUGUACGAAUAAGCAUCGGCUAACUCCGUGCCAGCAGCCGCGGUAAUACGGAGGAUGCAGGCGUUAUCCGGAUUUAUUAGGUUUAAAGGGUGCGCAGGCGGCCCUAUAAGUCAGUGGUGAAAGUUUGCGGCUUAACCGUAAAAUUGCCAUUGAUACUGUAGGGCUUGAAUAUGGUAGAGGUAGGCGGAAUGUGUAGUGUAGCGGUGAAAUGCUUAGAUAUUACACAGAACACCGAUUGCGAAGGCAGCUUACUAUGCCAUGAUUGACGCUGAGGCACGAAAGCGUGGGUAGCGAACAGGAUUAAAUACCCUGGUAGUCCACGCCGUAAACGAUGAUUACUGGUUGUGUGCGA
rnacentral:rRNA from 1 species